CACACACACACAAACAGUGAUGUCAUUCAAGAGGCACAUCCACCUGGGCCUGGUGCAAGGGUACAUUGGAUUUCAAAGCAUCCCCGCUACUUUCCAAAAAACCAGCAGCCGAAAACGAACAAACAUGUCGGAGCAGAGAACCCACAGUGCUGUGACAGAAUUCUGGAGAGGCCGACACUCGUCCACUUCUGACCAAACUGGCUGAUGCCUGCUCAGUGCUAACCCCUGUCUUCAUCACACCCUCCUCUCUGCACAAAUAUCUGCAUCACUUCCAACUCUCCAUCAGGCUGUGUGUGAGGUAAAAGA